UACGAAGGGGGCUAGCGUUGUUCGGAAUCACUGGGCGUAAAGCGCACGUAGGCGGAUCUUUAAGUCAGGGGUGAAAUCCCGAGGCUCAACCUCGGAACUGCCUUUGAUACUGGGGAUCUCGAGUCCGGGAGAGGUGAGUGGAACUGCGAGUGUAGAGGUGAAAUUCGUAGAUAUUCGCAAGAACACCAGUGGCGAAGGCGGCUCACUGGCCCGGAACUGACGCUGAGGUGCGAA
rnacentral:rRNA from 1 species